GGACUACAGGGGUAUCUAAUCCUGUUUGCUCCCCACGCUUUCGCGUCUGAGCGUCAGUCACCGUCCAGAAGGCCGCCUUCGCUACCGGUAUUCCUCCCAGUAUCUACGGAUUUCACCCCUACACUGGGAAUUCUGCCUUCCUCUCCGGGACUCUAGCUAGGUAGUUUCGGUCGCAAUUCCAGGGUUAAGCCCGGGGAUUUCACAACCGACUUGCCAAGCCGCCUACACGCGCUUUACGCCCAGUAAUUCCGAACAACGCUUGCACCCUCCGUAUUACCGCGGCUGCUGGCAC
rnacentral:rRNA from 1 species